GCGCCGGCGAUGUAUGGUGUAGCAUCGCUGCCCGAAAUGCAGAAGGCACGGGUUCGACUCCCGCCUGCCGCA
rnacentral:tRNA from 1 species